GACGAACGCUGGCGGCGUGCCUAACACAUGCAAGUCGAACGGACUUAAGUUUUCGGAUUUAAGUUAGUGGCGGACGGGUGAGUAACGCGUGAGUAACCUGCCUUUCAGAGUGGGAUAACAGGCUGAAAAGCCUGCUAAUACCGCAUAACAUAUUUUUGGGGCAUCCCGGAGAUAUCAAAGAUUUUAUCGCUGAAAGAUGGACUCGCGUCCGAUUAGAUAGUUGGCGGGGUAACGGCCCACCAAGUCGACGAUCGGUAGCCGGACUGAGAGGUUGAACGGCCACAUUGGGACUGAGACACGGCCCAGACUCCUACGGGAGGCAGCAGUGGGGGAUAUUGCACAAUGGGGGAAACCCUGAUGCAGCAACGCCGCGUGAGGGAAGAAGAUUUUUC
rnacentral:rRNA from 1 species